rnacentral:rRNA from 1 species
UGAGGAAUAUUGCGCAAUGGGGGAAACCCUGACGCAGCAACGCCGCGUGGGUGAAGAAGGCCUUCGGGUCGUAAAGCCCUUUCGGACGGGACGAACGCUCCGCGGUGACAACCCGCGGAGCCUGACGGUACCGUAAGAAGAAGCACCGGCUAACUCCGUGCCAGCAGCCGCGGUAAUACGGAGGGUGCAAGCGUUGUUCGGAAUUACUGGGCGUAAAGCGCGUGUAGGCGGCCUUGCAAGCCGGACGUGAAAGCCCUCGGCUUAACCGGGGAAGUGCGUCUGGAACUGCUCGGCUCGAGUACGGGAGAGGGAGGCGGAAUUCCCAGUGUAGAGGUGAAAUUCGUAGAUAUUGGGAGGAACACCGGUGGCGAAAGCGGCCUCCUGGACCGAUACUGACGCUGAGACGCGAAAGCGUGGGGAGCAAACAGGAUUAGAUACCCUGGUAGUCCACGCUGUAAACGAUGGGCACUAGGUGUGGGGGGUAUCCACUCCUCCCGUGCCGCAGCUAACGCAUUAAGUGCCCCGCCUGGGGAGUACGGCCGCAAGGUUA